AUUAAGCUGACGAGUCCCAAACGGGAUGAAAUGCGCAUUCUAAU
rnacentral:hammerhead_ribozyme from 1 species